GCAUUUGAAACUGGCAGACUAGAGUACUGUAGAGGGGGGUAGAAUUUCAGGUGUAGCGGUGAAAUGCGUAGAGAUCUGAAGGAAUACCGGUGGCGAAGGCGGCCCCCUGGACAGAUACUGACACUCAGAUGCGAAAGCGUGGGGAGCAAACAGGAUUAGAUACCCUGGUAGUCCACGCCGUAAACGAUGUCUACUUGGAGGUUGUGGCCUUGAGCCGUGGCUUUCGGAGCUAACGCGUUAAGUAGACCGCCUGGGGAGUACGGUCGCAAGAUUAAAACUCAAAUGAAUUGACGGGGGCCCGCACAAGCGGUGGAGCAUGUGGUUUAAUUCGAUGCAACGCGAAGAACCUUACCUACUCUUGACAUCCAGAGAACUUUCCAGAGAUGGAUUGGUGCCUUCGGGAACUCUGAGACAGGUGCUGCAUGGCUGUCGUCAGCUCGUGUUGUGAAAUGUUGGGUUAAGUCCCGCAACGAGCGCAACCCUUAUCCUUGUUUGCCAGCGAGUAAUGUCGGGAACUCCAGGGAGACUGCCGGUGAUAAACCGGAGGAAGGUGGGGACGACGUCAAGUCAUCAUGGCCCUUACGAGUAGGGCUACACACGUGCUACAAUGGCGCAUACAGAGGGCAGCCAACUUGCGAAAGUGAGCGAAUCCCAAAAAGUGCGUCGUAGUCCGGAUUGGAGUCUGCAACUCGACUCCAUGAAGUCGGAAUCGCUAGUAAUCGUGGAUCAGAAUGCCACGGUGAAUACGUUCCCGGGCCUUGUACACACCGCCCGUCACACCAUGGGAGUGGGCUGCAAAAGAAGUAGGUAGUUUAACCUUCGGGGGGACGCUUACCACUUUGUGGUUCAUGACUGGGGUGAAGUCGUAACAAGGUAGCGCUAGGGGAACCUGGCGCUGGAUCACCUCCUUACC
rnacentral:rRNA from 1 species